AGCCGAAACGGUCAGAAAUGACCGUCAGCCGAGGGAUAGCCGCCCAGUUCUGAUGAUGGCAGGCUCAC
rnacentral:hammerhead_ribozyme from 1 species